rnacentral:rRNA from 1 species
UGAGGAAUUUUGCGCAAUGGGGGAAACCCUGACGCAGCAACGCCGCGUGAGUGAUGAAGGCUUUCGGGUCGUAAAACUCUGUCAAGUGGGAAGAACAAGCCUGAUGUUAAUACCAUCAGGAACUGACGGUACCACUGAAGGAAGCACCGGCUAACUCCGUGCCAGCAGCCGCGGUAAUACGGAGGGUGCAAGCGUUAUCCGGAUUUAUUGGGUUUAAAGGGUGCGCAGGCGGAAUUUUAAGUCAGUGGUGAAAGCCCGAAGCUCAACUUCGGAACUGCCAUUGAUACUGAAAUUCUUGAGUGUGGUUGAUGUGGGCGGAAUGUGCCAUGUAGCGGUGAAAUGCUUAGAUAUGGCACAGAACACCGAUCGUGAAGACAGCUCACAAAACCAUUACUGACGCUCAGGCACGAAAGCGUGGGGAUCAAACAGGAUUAGAUACCCUGGUAGUCCACGCCGUAAACGAUGUCAACUAGUUGUUGGGUUCCUUGAGGACUUAGUAACGAAGCUAACGCGAUAAGUUGACCGCCUGGGGAGUACGGUCGCAAGAUUA